GCCAGUUGUCCCCGGCCCGGCUGCGGCCCCCGUGCGCGCUCGUGCUCUCGCUUCGGCCCCGGCGGGGUGCGGCCCUUGAGCCAGGCUCCCUGGCGCGCCGGCGGCCGGGGACGCGGUAGGAACGCUUCGUUCGCCCGCGCGGCACGCAGGGCGGGGAGUGCGGCACGGCCCUGCCCGCACAGGGCCCUCGGUCCAGGGCGGGAGGCCCGGGUGAGUCAGAACGUCCAGCACAUCAGACGAGUGUCAAGGCGAGGCCAAAGCAGGGAGGGCAUCAGCCGGGCGGCUAGGGAGCGCCCCUGACAAGGUGCCAAAAAGUGGAAACCCCCCAAGUGUACACCAGCUGAUGGAUGGGUAAGCACAGUGCGGUCCAUCAUACAAUGGAAUACGAUUCAGCUGUAAAAAGGGAUGAAGUGCUGAGGCGCGCUGCAAUGUGGAUGGACCCUGAAAACGAGCUUCAGUGAACAAAGCCAGAUACGGAAGGACACAGCAUAUGAAUCCAUUGCUAAGAAAUGUCCAGAACCGGAAAUACGUAGACAAAGAGUAGAGUAGUUGCAGGGGCUUGGAUGUGGGGACUGGAGAGUAGCUGUUGGUGGUGAUGUAAAUGUUCUAAAAUUGAUCGUGAUGGUAGCACAACAUUGUGACUAUACUGAAAACCAUUGGAUCGUAUACUUUUAAGAUGGUGAAUUGCAUGUUAUGUGGAUUAUAUCUCAAUAAAGCUCUUAUUAAAAAAAUA